GAUGAACGCUGGCGGCGUGCCUAAUACAUGCAAGUCGAGCGAAUGGAUUGAGAGCUUGCUCUCAAGAAGUUAGCGGCGGACGGGUGAGUAACACGUGGGUAACCUGCCCAUAAGACUGGGAUAACUCCGGGAAACCGGGGCUAAUACCGGAUAACAUUUUGAACUGCAUGGUUCGAAAUUGAAAGGCGGCUUCGGCUGUCACUUAUGGAUGGACCCGCGUCGCAUUAGCUAGUUGGUGAGGUAACGGCUCACCAAGGCAACGAUGCGUAGCCGACCUGAGAGGGAGAUCGGCCACACUGGGACUGAGACACGGCCCAGACUCCUACGGGAGGCGGCAGUAGGGAAUCUUCCGCAAUGGACGAAAGUCUGACGGAGCAACGCCGCGUGAGUGAUGAAGGCUUUCGGGUCGUAAAACUCUGUUGUUAGGGAAGAACAAGUGCUAGUUGAAUAAGCUGGCACCUUGACGGUACCUAACCAGAAAGCCACGGCUAACUACGUGCCAGCCGCCGCGGUAA
rnacentral:rRNA from 1 species